rnacentral:rRNA from 1 species
GACGAACGCUGGCGGCGUGCUUAACACAUGCAAGUCGAACGGAAAGGCCCUGCUUGCCGGGUACUCGAGUGGCGAACGGGUGAGUAACACGUGGGUGAUCUGCCCUGCACUUCGGGAUAAGCCUGGGAAACUGGGUCUAAUACCGGAUAGGAGCCAUUUUUAGUGUGAUGGUUGGAAAGUUUUUUCGGAGUAGGAUGAGCUCGCGGCCUAUCAGCUUGUUGGUGGGGUAAUGGCCUACCAAGGCGGCGACGGGUAGCCGGCCUGAGAGGGUGGACGGCCACAUUGGGACUGAGAUACGGCCCAGACUCCUACGGGAGGCAGCAGUGGGGAAUAUUGCACAAUGGGCGCAAGCCUGAUGCAGCGACGCCGCGUGGGGGAUGACGGCCUUCGGGUUGUAAACUCCUUUCGCUAGGGACGAAGCUUUUUGUGACGGUACCUAGAUAAGAAGCACCGGCUAACUACGUG